GUUUCUUUUGUACUUUACUCAUAAUUUUAGAAACAGUUGCACAUUUACAGAAAUAAUAUUCUUCUUUUGAAGGCUGAAGGACAGGGUUGGCAAGAGGGUAGGGAUUUCCAUGGAGUAAAGGAGGUAACUUUGGGAAGGGUGAUUUGAAAAGUAAAUGAAAUACAGCCCAACAUGAUGAAGUACUUGCGUAACUGCAGAUCUUUCAGUGGGCUGGAUAGAUGUUAUCCAUGUUAGCAUAUCCACAUGGGUCCCACUUUCCCUGGUAGGACCUAGAUAAGCCCUCCCAUUGGAUGGUCCCAAGAGCUGAGAAAGCUGCUACAUUGAGAAGGGCUCUACCUAUUCCUUUUUCAUUAUCAUUUCUCUCCAUUCUCUCCCAUAUACUAGUACAAGGUCCUUUCAUGCAUCUCUCAAUUAUGCCUAAACGGUAAAAUCAUGGAGGUAUAAGUAAAAAUUUUAAUGAUGAGUGCCUAUGAAUUUCAAUUUUUCCAUGUAUAUUACUGUGUAAUAAUAAGCAAGAUAUGAAACCUUGAUAAACCCAUUCCCUUUUUUUAUACAAGGUAAAUUGCAAUCUCUCUUAUUAAAUGUUAAAUGAAACAUACAACAUACAUAUAUGCUUUGUCCAAAAUCACGUUUGGAUCUUUGGUAUCCUCAAGGCUCAAUAAAUUGUUUAGAAAUAUUUAUUGGAGUUCCCGUUAUGGCUCAGUGGUAAGUAACUAGUAUCUAUGAAUAUGUGGGUUCGAUCCCUGGCCUUGUUCAGUGAGUUAGAAGAUCCGGCAUUACCAUGAGCUGUGGUGUAGGUUGCAGACAUGGUUCAGAUUUGGCAUUGCUGUGGCUGUGGCAUAGGCCAGCAGCUGCAGCUCCAAUUUGACCCCUAGCCUGGGAAAUUCCAUAAGCCAUGGGUUCAGCCCUAAAAAGAAAAAAAAAAUAUUGACACACAAUGCCUAAGGAAUACUUGCUUAAGUUUGAAUAAUACAUAAUGAACUAAUGAAUGAAUGUCCUAAUGGCUUUGCUUUUAGUCCUAGCUGAAUUUUAUUUGUGUAAUGGCAUUCUGUAUUCAAGCUAACAAUGAGCUUAUUUCAUUGUAAAGCAAUCUAACAAUAAGGUGACCACAUAAUCCAAACUAGGACAUUUUUGAGGCACUAUUAAUAAUUGCUUUGAAACAACUUAUAUAAACUGGGAUUAUCCUGAACAAAUAGAGGUAUAUAUAUAGUAUACCUCUCUCUAUAUAUAUCCACCUUCUUAAAAACUACACAGCUCUUGGCUUGAUCCAUUGAUAAGGAUCACAAAUGAAUCUGUAAUUCUGAUAGUAUGCAAAGGUUUGAUUUUCUCAAUGUUUAAGCCAAAAGAAGUACCCAAAAAUUGUGUAUGUAUGCCUUACUCUGCACAAUGGAUUGCUUCCUGAACAACUGUGUUUAUUGGAUUUUUAAUAAUGAAAGUUACAUAUACAUUCCCAUGGGCACUUUAUAAAGAAUCUCAGUACUGAACCAUUUUUAAAGUGAUAAAACUCUAAAAUUUGAAUAAUCAGCCCUCCCACUGGGAACUCAGAUAUCCAAUUUAUUUGCUUAUAAGUUAAAGUUUGUUUAGUUUCAUAUUGAGUUUUCCAAAGUAUGACAUAUCUUCAGGCCGCAGUCUUGCAUGAAAUAUGUCCUAAUAAUAUGUGACUAGUCAAUUAUUCACCUAGGGCACUUUUAGUCACCUAAGACUGUUACUCUAAUGAAGUUGCCAUCUUAAUGGGGUGAUAGACAGAAACAAUAGAGGACUGUCACAGAGCAAUGUGAAAGGACAAUUUCUCUUCAAGAUAGCACCCCAUGUUCCUAGGUAGCCACAGAAUUAAAAUCCUUCUGCCCCAUGAAAACUAUAAUAGGAGUGUCUGCAAUUAAGGUUGUGGGGUUACAUGGACCGUAGAGCUCCUUUAUUGCAUUUGAGAUCUAGACUGUUAUAGUCUUACUAGUUGAGUUUAUCAGAGUGACUUUAGUAAUACCAGAGAUGAAUCUGGUAGCAUAAGCAUCAGCCUCGGCCCUUCAGUGGCCAACAAAGACUAAUUAAGAAGUGAAACAUUGGUUAAGUUGCUCUCCAUUAGGGCAAGAUAAUGUAUUCCUGGAAGUACCAGGAGGCUGUAAUUGCUAGGCCCUAGAUAACUCUGAUUUAGUAAGAGAGCUUUAAUGUUUAACAUAUGUUAAGGUUCUAGAAAACCUUUCAGCUAUGACUGAUACUGAGGGCUCCGUGUGUAUCCUGUUUGAGCUGCAAACAUAGAAUGUCACUUUAUAAAAGAUGUUUAACACUUAGCAUGUUAAACCCAACCAUUUCAACCCAUCCAAACAUCUCACUUGAAUAGUCCUAUAUAAUAAGCAGUAUCAAUACCAUAACUUGAAGGUAAGAAAAUUUCAAGUGUAACCCAGGUUGUGUUAGUCACUAGGUCUGAGAGCUAAACAAAGCUUGUUUACUUAUCCAAAUAUUAAUUACUUCAUAUAUAACAUUAGAGGAUUUGGACCGUAUAUACUAUAGAUUUCUUUCAUAAUUAACAUUUUAGGAGUAAUUCCUUGAAGCCUCUAAUAGAAACCUAGGAUGUUACAGGAUGAUAUAAUGAAGGUCUAUGGUUAGAGCUGAUGGCCAAGAAGGGAACUAACUCAAAACUUAAGCCAAUAAAAAAAAGAAAUCAGUCUUUCUGACAUAAUAUAGCUUACUGUCAACAUGUAAACAUCAGAUAUCAUGCUAUUACCACCAUAACAUGUUCUUCAGUUUAAAAAUUAAUCUGUAAUACAUAACAAUUACAUUACUUAUCUUACAGAAGAGGAAACAGAUGCAAAGGAGUUAAGUAACUUCUCCAAGUUUGCUAGAACUUAAGAACUUAAAAAACAGUCCAGAUUUGCUUACUUCCAAUUAGUCUCUUUCAUAUCUUAGAUUUCUUCAGGUGGAAAAUCACAAGAAAACUUAGUUUAUGUUAGUAAACAGCACUAGGUGCUCUAGGAUUACUGAAUGAAAACAUUCUACUUUACUAACAGUAGGAAACAAAUGGAAACACUUUUACACUUCUCUUCAACUGUCUCCACCCUCAUAUCUUAUACCAUAGAGGUACUUUGUGUACAGGGAAGGACAGAGAAUAAAAUGCAAUCAAUUGGCUAAGAAACAAUGAGCCAACUUGCAGUUGGUCUAAAAGAUAAGCUAUACUUUUAUUACUGUUUUGGGAAGAGUAAUCCAGUAAUGAUACCUAAGCACAUCCUUGGACUCUUUUCUGCUGCAGAGAAGGACAGUUAGAAGCGAAGGACAGAAAUAAAAUAGUACAAUCCUCUAGAUUCUAUCUGAAUUGAGUAGAGGGGAAAAUGAGCUGAAAUUCAACUGUGAAGGGGAAAAAAUAAAAAGUGAUGACAUGGAAACUGGAUUUUCAAAAAGUAGGUAGAGUGAAAGAGGAGGUGGAUAUAAAGAGAGAAGUUCCUAAGGCCCUAUGUUUCUGCCUUUGCAUUGACCACUUAUUUAUGUAUAUGUCUUAUGAAUUAUAGAACCACAAAUACACAUAUAUAACAAAAACAGAGAAACAAUACAUGUGUUGAUAACCCUUCUGUCUAGUGAUGCAUUUAGAAAGGAAAAAAUAACACUAGAGGAGUUCCCAUCAUGGCACAGUGGAAACAAAUCUGACAAGGAGCCGUGAGGUUGAGGGUUAGAUCCCUCACCUUGCUCAUUGGAUUAAGGAUCUGGCGUUGCUGUGAGCUGUGGUGUAGGUCACAGACAGGGUUUGGAUCUGGCGUUGCUAUGGCUCUGGUGUACGCCGGCGGCUACAGCUCCGAUUAGACCCCUAGCCUGGGAACCUCCAUAUGCUGCGGGUAUGGCCCUGAAAAGACAAAAGACCAAAAAAAAAUUUUUUAAUUAAAAAAUUUUUAAAAAUAACACUAGAAAACAAAAACCUACAAUGCCAAGACUUUGGAUUGACAUUCUUUCACUGGGCAAGAAAAGUCCCAUUGUUUUAUACAAAUACCAUCUAGAUUUAUCUUCUUACAUUCAUUGAAUGAUUAUUCCCAAGGUAACUGAUGAUGGCUACAGGUAGUAAGUAGUUCAAUACUCAUCCUAAAAUUUGUUAUAUGAUGGACUACUGGCUAAUGAGAUUUGUUUUCUUGAGGAAGAGUUAACCUAAUUUUUGUUGGCUGCCUAUGGUGAUGCAAAGCCUUUGAACUAUACUGAUGUCUUAUUUUUCUCUUGGUCAUGACUUUUCUUGGUUUUUGCUUUAUUUUGAUUCAAAGACAACAGGGAUAACUGCUCAUCUCCUGGUAGGUGCAAGACACAUACAGAUUAUGCCAUCUUCUAUGUGUAGGAAUCUGCUCUAAAUAGGUGGUAGAAAAGUUAACUAAUAUGAAAAAAAAUCCCCAAAUUUUGGUUUGCUAUUUGAUUUAAAUGUCUUAGCUAUAAUAAACAAAUUUUUUGUCGUUGUUUAAUUUUCUACUCUUUUCAUGGAAGCAGCACUUUGAGUAUAAAUAACGUCUCAGAAUCAGGUAAAUUACUUCCAGAGCUUUAUGACAUGCUAAUGUGCUCCUUUGGAUUUCCUGAGUCCUUCUGCUGUUAUUAAGUGCUGCCAUUCACUGUUUGAACACUACUUAGAAUUGCACACUAUUCCUCAAAAGGUCAUCAAAGCACUUAAUAAUUUUAGAAAGAGAUAAGCAGGACAGAAGACCUUAUCUGUAUAUCAAAUGUGAAUUCAUGUGUGACCUGCAACACCAGCCAAACUGCUGUCCCUAUCAAUCCUACCUCCACUUCGCCCUAUCCUUGACUAGCACCACGCUGGUAAGGACUCCACGACUCCCCACGCUCAUCCUGGCAUCUACAUUGAUUUGCUAUAGAGCCUCUGACCAGUCACAGAUGGAAAUUUACCCUCAUGUUAAUGUAAAAAGGAAACUAAGAGAAGUAGAAUGUCCAUGUAAAAUGUACUGAGGAGAGAUAACCCACACUCUUGCCUACAAAGUUAAAACUACAAACUCCAAAAAUUCUUUUGGGUUUGUAGUUUCAGUGCUAGACAUAAAUUACCAUUUUCUGGGGAAAUCUAUUUCAGAAUGUGGAAUUAUGACUUUUUAUUUUGAAUUGCGUGUAUGUGUAAUACAUUCUCUUUCUGUCUCUGCCUAUAUCUUUGUCUCUUUCUGACUCUGUGUGUGUGUUUGCCUGUCUGUCUUUCCAAAAGUGCCUGGAUGGCCAGCUACUAUGGAUUUCUAAAAGAUUUUUUACCAUGAGUAGCCCCAGAUUUCUUCUAAAUUUAAGAUUCUCUUCUGUUUCUUUUCUGUUUUUUUCUAAGUACUUUCUCUGUUUUCUCACUAAAUUUCAUCUCUUCAUUGUAAACCAUCUCAGAAGAGAUUUCCUGCCUGGUCUGCCUCACAUUUAGUAUAUUAUUUUCAGAAUUUACAUUUUCCCUUCCUCCACCUUUGACCUUUGCUCUGAGUUUUCAUACUUAGUCCAUAUAUUAGAAUUUGAAAGACACAGAGGUUGUACUGGAAUAUGAUUAAAAACAUGUUGUCAUUGUAUUAUGUGACUUGUACUUCUGUUUUGUUUUUUCAGUAUUAUCUAGCUGCUCCAUUAACUAGGAUUUAGGUAAUGGAAGAAUAAAUAAAUGUCAGGAGCUCUUAAGAACUGGGAAUAUAAAUGAAACAAUGUUAAUAAAACUGAUGCUUUUCUAUGUAAUAUCAGAUAUGUAAAUCUAUAUCAGCUUUGUUUACUUUUAAAGCAUUUUUGUAUGCUUUUUAUGCUUAAAAUAUUGUUCUAUGUGAAAUAAACACCCUCGAUCCAUGUGUUUCAAUUUCAGUAGUUAAUUCCCAACACACUGAGUACUAGGUGCUGAACAAAUAGGUUUUUCUCACAUCUCAAGCGACUUAAAACCACAGCCUAUAUGAGGUUAAAACCGACAAAGCAGUGAAACAAAAGAUGUUUGUCACUAAAGAUGGUAAAGAAAUUUAUGAUUGCUUAUUAAAUUUUUGUUUUUACCAUUUUCCAGUUAAAAGAUCUUUUCAGGAAAGGAUGAAAUUUAUAUGACGUUUAUAUCGUAUUAGGUAUUGUAAAUGAUGUAGAGAUGACUGAAAGUAAACUGGAGGAAUUGUAUAGGUUAUAUGCAAACACUACACCAUUUCAUAUAUGGGAUUUUUUUGCAUGUUGGACUUUGAUAUUGCAGGGAGAUUCUGGAAUCCAGCCUCCAUGCAUACGGAGGCACAACUGUAUAGUACAUACAAAUUUAACAUAACUGCUCUAUAGUUUAGGACUUUUUUUAAUCUUGAGAGGAGGUGGUGUAAAGAGACCAUUAUCUAUAACUAGGAAAUAUCUGGAUUAGAAAGUAAAUGAAUCUACCUGCUUCCUUUAUGUUAUGGUUGGAUGUACCUCUUAAAGCCCUCAAAAAGAUACAUUUGAAUUUUUUUAAAUGUUACUUUAUGCAGGAUUACUCAACAUAGGAACUUAAGGGUUACUUUAAGAGUUAGUUUAGACUGAAAAUAGACAUAUCUCAGAAAGGGUCAAGAAGUUUCAUGGAUAACAGAUAGAUAAGAUAAUAACAGAAGAGGGCCUUUGUGGUAGAUACUAAGCUGAAAGAUUGAAGUCUGUAAAGAAAUCUCAUGAAGAACAGAAUAUGAGUCCAAAUACAAGGAUCUGGGCCAUUGGAGCAACUCUUAUUGAGAACAUCCUAGACAACCUGCCUAGAGGGCAGCCAGGCAGAGGGUCCACUACUGAAUGGGAUGGCCACCAAUGGUCACUAAGGAGAAACUGGAAUGUACAGAACUCCAAGGCACUCAUGUUUUUCUCAUUUGUUCAUAGUUGUGAAUCAAAAGAAAAGCCAUUCCCCAACAGAUCGACCAUGUUGAUCUAACUCUCUAAGCCAGUUUCUGUCUGAUAGGCCAGUUUGAGCAGCUCUUUUGUCCCCCACUCCCUUGGGCAUCUAGCUGACGGAGCUCAUGUUUCAUUGUUUUCAUCUUAGGUUUACUACUGGCAGAAAGCAGACUUUGAAUGGACUAUCGUUUGAAAAGAACUGGGCUAGAGCACCCUGUGUUCCUCAGGAUAAUGAGAAAGUGGAUUCCAGCCUGAUUUUGCCCUCAGCUUGGUUCAGUCUAUCCUAUAACAGGCAUUUAUCAGCUAUGGGCUUGGAAAAUAGGGCCUCAAAUGACUGACCCUGUGCUCUCUAGAGAAAGCAUGACUUGGUUGAUCAAGUCCCACAAGGUGAUUCUGCAACCCAGGUGUCCAGAGUUGGAAAAGCCUGUGCCUGCUCUGAAGAAUCAGUUACUAAUUUUGUAGCCUCCCUAUCUGGAAAAUCAAGUCCUUCAAAUCAAAAAAAAAAAAAAAAAAAAA
rnacentral:lncRNA from 1 species